rnacentral:rRNA from 1 species
GAUGAACGCUGGCGGCGUGCCUAAUACAUGCAAGUCGAGCGAACAGACGAGGAGCUUGCUCCUCUGACGUUAGCGGCGGACGGGUGAGUAACACGUGGAUAACCUACCUAUAAGACUGGGAUAACUUCGGGAAACCGGAGCUAAUACCGGAUAAUAUAUUGAACCGCAUGGUUCAAUAGUGAAAGACGGUUUUGCUGUCACUUAUAGAUGGAUCCGCGCCGCAUUAGCUAGUUGGUAAGGUAACGGCUUACCAAGGCAACGAUGCGUAGCCGACCUGAGAGGGUGAUCGGCCACACUGGAACAGAGACACGGUCCAGACUCCUACGGGAGGCAGCAGUAGGGAAUCUUCCGCAAUGGGCGAAAGCCUGACGGAGCAACGCCGCGUGAGUGAUGAAGGUCUUCGGAUCGUAAAACUCUGUUAUUAGGGAAGAACAAAUGUGUAAGUAACUAUGCACGUCUUGACGGUACCUAAUCAGAAAGCCACGACUAACUACGUG